UUCCCGUUGGCUCAGACAGUAAAGAAUCUGCCUGCAAUGCAGGAGACUCAGGUUCAAUCCCUGAGUUGGAAA
rnacentral:tRNA from 1 species